rnacentral:rRNA from 1 species
CCUACGGGGGGCUGCAGUGGGGAAUAUUGCACAAUGGGCGCAAGCCUGAUGCAGCCAUGCCGCGUGUGUGAAGAAGGCCUUCGGGUUGUAAAGCACUUUCAGCGGGGAGGAAGGCGGUGAGGUUAAUAACCUCAUCGAUUGACGUUACCCGCAGAAGAAGCACCGGCUAACUCCGUGCCAGCAGCCGCGGUAAUACGGGGGGUGCAAGCGUUAAUCGGAAUUACUGGGCGUAAAGCGCACGCAGGCGGUCUGUCAAGUCGGAUGUGAAAUCCCCGGGCUCAACCCGGGAACUGCAUUCGAAACUGGCAGGCUAGAGUCUUGUAGAGGGGGGUAGAAUUCCAGGUGUAGCGGUGAAAUGCGUAGAGAUCUGGAGGAAUACCGGUGGCGAAGGCGGCCCCCUGGACAAAGACUGACGCUCAGGUGCGAAAGCGUGGGGAGCAAACAGGAUUAGAUACCCGAGUAGUC